AUGGCCCGCUGGGUCACAGGCACUACGCUACAAAGCCCGGCGAAGGAUUGCAAUGGGUAGUGCAAUAUAAAGAGCAAUAUAUUUGUAGACUUUUUCCGGUGUGGGACUAUUGGAAAAAUCUACCCGAAGGCCGGUUACCUUACAGGUUCGGCAAUUCGAUGAGAGAGAGAACUUACGACGUACGAGAAAGUGACGGAAAGUGUUACAAAUGGUGAAGGCGAGGUUGGUGAAGAGCACGAUUCGUCACCUGAUAGUGAUAUCACUGAUUCAGGACCCAAACAGAAACAUGAUUCUUCCUUCACGGGAUCCGACAGAUUCAAACCCGGAUUCCAAAUUCCUCCCACUUUGAAUUCAACGACAGACUUCGUUUCCAGUUUUGACGGGCUAAUCAUUUUCACAAAAAUAACAAAAUAAAUUUGGAGAUGAAGGGAAGCCAAGGAAGAAGAAGAAAGACGGGGGGAUGAAAUGCGACAGUGAACGAGAAAAUGAAGAAUUGGGCCUCUUGUUUCAAACGCCCGUUUAGGUUAGCAGAAAAACUUAAAAAAUAUGUGAUUUUAUUCUUUUAAGUGGUGUGCAGAGUGUGAGGUUUAUGUGCAACAUAACUCCCUGGAAAAAAGCUUCGUCGAUUGCUCAUUUCAGUCAAUCCUCUUCCUCAUUCUUCUUCUUUUCUCUAUUCCUAAUUUGAUUCUCCGGAGUAAUAAUGUUCGGUUCCUUUGAAAUAUGAUGGAUUUUAAGAUUCAAUAAAUGGGAAGAUGGACUUCCAUCGUUGAGAGAAUACAAUGAUUAUUUGGAGGAAGUGGAGGACACGACUCUCAAACAGGUUACGGUACUAGUGCACAGGGACAAUAUGCACCAACAUUUGCUGGAGGGCAGCCUCCCAAGCAGUUCCUCUUGGAGGCGGACCCGACAUGCAAGUUUUUGCCGCUGAUUAUACGGAAAUGUUGAGGGUCCGAGCGGAGAGAGGUGGGAGGGCGGAGCUGAGCAAGAGGAGGCACUUGAAGAAGCAUUUGGAAGCAUCUGGAUUUUUUAGGACUAUUUUUUCACUUAUAAAUCACACGAAGCCUCCACAUGUGGCGCAGCAAAACUUUCAUUCAUGUUAUGUUAUGACAAAAUUGAGUGUAAAUUACUUAUGCCAUGGUGAUGAAUUAUUUAGCGAAAUGAGAUACGAGGCUUGUUGUUUGAGA